AUCGCGAAUCUCCCUCCCUCCGCCCCUGCCCAUAAUGAAGAUAAGAGAGAAGCGGCUGAGAGUUCGCAGGGGCUCUUUUUUAAAAAAUAAAAUAGAUUGCAGCGCGGGUCUCGCUUCCAUUCCCUAGGGUGCCCCUCCCUUCCAAAAGCAGAUUUUUGGCCGCUGCUACGAUCCUGGCAAGCCGCACGCCCCUCCCCCUCCGCCUGCGCCAGAAGGGAGACCCAUUGAGUUCAAUGAGAGCCUAAGGAACAGGCCUGGGUUAAAAGUCAGUGACCCAAAUGGAUUUUGAUGCAGAUCUUUUCCGUGUGGCGAUUUCUGAUUGGCAGCAGCCUUUCACCCUGCAGGGGGAAAGAGAUGCAAGCCCAUGGGGGAAAAGAUGAAUGCCCCUGAGCAUCCUCACCUUGUGCUGCAAGACACAAAGAAUACAGGCUCCCAAUGAAGCAGCAGAGAACUCCAAAGAUACUGGGCACUGAUCUCUUUGCUGUUAAAGAUGCUAGAAACUCACAUACCUUGCUGGUGAAUCUGCAGAUUCUCUGGUUGUCGCUGCUGGUUCUCAGUAUUUUCUUUUCAUUGUUACAGGGAAGUGAUGGUGCCCAUUUGAUAUCUUUUCAGGUAUAACACACACAAAUAUUCUGAACAAUAUGGGUGAGAGGGGGGAUAUCCCAUUUGUCCUCCAAGUCCACUGGUGCUUUUAAACUCUAUUCGUGAAACGUAAGAUGUGUGAAAGGCUUUAAAAACAAAACAAUGCCUCACAUUGGAUCAGAAGUUGAAAUCCUCCCCAUUCAUCUGACUGACUUGAACUGGUGCCACAGUGCAAGCAUUGUUGUUACUGGUCAGUGACUUCCUAAAUGAACAAGUUACGGUACUUUCGUCUUUUCUGCCCAAGUGAUCAGAUGAUAUUAAAACCUAUGUGCAAUUUGGCAGGAAGCAGGGAGAAAGCGAGAGAGCAGCAGUCACUAGCAAACCUAAACUAUUUACCUUAUGUCAGGUUCUGCCAGGGCUACAAAAAGCUGGUUUUCAUGUCACCAGAACAACACUUGGUUUCUCUCUCCCCCCUCCCCGCUCCCCCACUCCUCCUCCCCAUUUUGGAAUUAACAAAGUAAACUGAUCUUCCUGCAGAAUGUGUCAUACAAUUAGGAUUGGGAUAAACAGGUUUCUCAGUAUGGCCUCUGUGUCCUGGUGGGCUGAGGAGACAAAGGGACAAGGAUGGGGAAGGUGGAGAGAGCAGGUUUCAUCAAACAAAGCCUGCGUCUGUUUUCAGUGCCAGAGUCCAGAUGCAUGUAUGAAAUGGGGCGCUUCUUCUGGGAUCAGAUAGAACUCAUGGGCAUCCAAUGAAGCUGAAUGCUGAAAGUCUCAGGACAAGGAAAAUAAGGUCCUUCUCCACACAGUGCAUGUUUAAACUUUGGAACUCACUGCAGUGAUAGCCACAAACUUGGAUGGCUUUAAAGUGGAUUGGACAAGAUAAUGGAGGCUGCCAAUGGCUACUAGCCACAGUGAUUGGAGGCGGCAAUGCUUCUGAAUGCCAGUUGCUGGAAACCGCAGGAGGGAAGAGGGCUUUUG